UACGUAGGGUCCGAGCGUUGUCCGGAGUUACUGGGCGUAAAACGCGCGCAGGCGGCGGUGCUGGCCCGGCGUGAAAGCCCCCGGCUCAACCGGGGAGAGUCGUCGGGGACCGCACCGCUUGAGGGCGGUAGGGGCUGGUGGAAUGCCUGGUGUAGUGGUGAAAUGCGUAGAGAUCAGGCAGAACACCUGGGGCGAAGGCGGCCAGCUGGGCCGUCCCUGACGCUGAGGCGCGAAGGCGUGGGGAGCGAACGGG
rnacentral:rRNA from 1 species